AUCCGGUUGACGAGUCCCAAAUAGGACGAAAUGAGCAUUCUGCAG
rnacentral:hammerhead_ribozyme from 1 species